rnacentral:rRNA from 1 species
ACGGGAGGCAGCAGUCGGGAAUAUUGCGCAAUGGAGGAAACUCUGACGCAGUGACGCCGCGUAUAGGAAGAAGGUUUUCGGAUUGUAAACUAUUGUCGUGAGGGAAGAAACAAGACAGUACCUCAGGAGGAAGCCCCGGCUAACUAUGUGCCAGCAGCCGCGGUAAUACAUAGGGGGCAAGCGUUAUCCGGAAUUAUUGGGUGUAAAGGGUGCGUAGACGGGAAAAUAAGUUAGUUGUGAAAUCCCACGGCUCAACUGUGGAACUGCAACUAAAACUGUUUUUCUUGAGUAUCGGAGAGGAAAGUGGAAUUCCUAGUGUAGCGGUGAAAUGCGUAGAUAUUAGGAGGAACACCAGUGGCGAAGGCGACUUUCUGGACGAAAACUGACGUUGAGGCACGAAAGUGUGGGGAGCAAACAGGAUUAGAUACCCUGGUA